rnacentral:rRNA from 1 species
UACGAAGGGAGCGAGCGUUGUUCGGAAUCACUGGGCGUAAAGCGUGCGUAGGCGGUUUUGUAAGUAAGAAGUGAAAGCCUGGGGCUCAACCUCAGAAUGGCUUCUUAGACUGCAGAGCUAGAGUAUUGGAGAGGUUAGUGGAAUUCCGAGUGUAGAGGUGAAAUUCGCAGAUAUUCGGAGGAACACCAGUGGCGAAGGCGACUAACUGGACAAUUACUGACGCUGAGGCACGAAAGCGUGGGGGAUCAAACAGG